UACGAAGGGGGCUAGCGUUGCUCGGAAUCACUGGGCGUAAAGCGCACGUAGGCGGCUUCUUAAGUCAGGGGUGAAAUCCUGGAGCUCAACUCCAGAACUGCCUUUGAUACUGAGGAGCUUGAGUCCGGGAGAGGUGAGUGGAACUGCGAGUGUAGAGGUGAAAUUCGUAGAUAUUCGCAAGAACACCAGUGGCGAAGGCGGCUCACUGGCCCGGUACUGACGCUGAGGUGCGAAAGCCAGGGGAGCGAACGGG
rnacentral:rRNA from 1 species